rnacentral:rRNA from 1 species
GGACUACUGGGGUUUCUAAUCCCGUUUGCUCCCCUGGCUUUCGCGCAUCAGCGUCAGAAAAGGUCCAGCACCUCGCCUUCGCCACCGGAGUUCCGCUGGAUAUCAACGCAUUUCACCGCUCCACCCAGCGUUCCAGAUGCCCCUACCUUCCUCUAGACCGGCAGUAUCCAUGGCACUUCUCCAGUUAAGCUGGAGGCUUUCACCACAGACUAUCCGGCCCGCCUACGCGCCCUUUAAGCCCAGUGAUUCCGAACAACGUUCGCACGGUUCGUCUUACCGCGGCUGCUGGCAC